rnacentral:lncRNA from 1 species
GUGAGACCUUUUAUUGAUCCACGUACGAUGAUCAAAAUGACAGACCGUCGAUCCAGUGAUGGACCGUCGCACAAGACGUCCCAGGUCCCGUUUAGCAAAUUAAAUCAAUUUUUAAAAGGGUAUUUGGGUCUUUUCCCACCCGUUUUAACUCUUAAUAAUAUCAUAUCAAGGGUCAUAAUUCUAUUAUCCAUUUACAACAUCAAAUUAGGGUUCUCUCUAAAAAAUAAUCCCCAAGAACAAG